rnacentral:rRNA from 1 species
UACGGAGGAUCCGAGCGUUAUCCGGAUUUAUUGGGUUUAAAGGGUGCGCAGGCGGGAGAUUAAGUCGGCGGUGAAAUUUUGGAGCUCAACUGUAAAAGUGCCUUCGAAACUGGUUUCCUUGAGUGUGGAUGAAGUAGGCGGAAUUUGUGGUGUAGCGGUGAAAUGCAUAGAUAUCACGAGGAACUCCGAUUGCGCAGGCAGCUUACUAAACCAUAACUGACGCUCAGGCACGAAGGCGUGGGGAUCAAACAGGAUUAGAUACCCGCGUAGUCCCU